rnacentral:lncRNA from 1 species
CUGGCUGCUUCCAUAUUGUACGCUUAGUUCAUUUUACCUAAUGAAUGAAGCAGGUAGCUGGCUACCUAUUUCUCAAAAAAAAAAAAAUAAUUUCUGUUUCUCUAGAGCAAGUGGCAAAGGGUUUGGUGGUUGGUAUCCGAGGUCCCAAGUUCGAAUCCUAGUUGAUUUACAUUUCUAGUUAAGUUUAUUUAUAAAUGAAGUAAACGAAGCGGAUAGCAUGCUAUCUAUCUCUCAAAAAAAAAAAAAAAAAUUCCUGUUUUGUCAAAAAAAAAAAAAGUUACUUAUUCAAAUAAUGUAAAAACUU